ensembl:lncRNA
CCCAUUUAUGCAAAACCUGAGUUUGCUUUUUAGUGCUUAGCAGCGCAACAAGGCUUUUCUUUCGCUUCCGCGAGCCGAGUCUGUCUGGCUAAUGCUGGAGGAGCGUUUGGGAGCCAAGGGUCCCGCAGUCACUGCUGACUUCAAAGCUGUAACCUGAGUCUCUCUGCAACUCCACAAUAAAUCAAAUAAUCCAUUCAGUGGGUGUUCAGGAGGGGACUGAGACGGGCCAAAUGCAAAGACUGAGAAAACAAGCAAGUGCAGUAGGGGAGAGAAAGAAACAGACAAACUGCAAAGAGAAAAAGAGAAGGACAACAAAAGCUAAAGGAAGAUCAGAACAAACUGAGGAAAUACCGGAGAAACAUAUAAUUUGAUAACUGCAAUUAAAUAAAGAUCAACAAGUCCAAAUGCUAUGGGUCAUCAUCAAAGACCAAUAUCCUAAGGGUUCAUGCCACAAAAGCUGGAGGCUGUAAGAGGUUAAGAAAGGACAUCUCAGCGAGGGGGAGAGUGUCCUGCUGAGCCUGCUGAAGAAUGCAAGGUAUUUCUCAUCUUAAGAUUAUGCAGGAAUGCAAAGGAGCUGACUUUCCAAAGAUAACAUCAACCUUACAUCUUGUUUAUGGAGAUGUGCGAUUAUAACCCCGUCAGCCCCGUAAUCAUCAAGGGAUACUCCACCCCAAAAUGAAAAUUUUGUCAUUAAUCACUUACCCCCAUGUCGUUCCAAACCCGUAAAAGUUUCAUUCGUCUUUGGAAGACAAUUUAAGAUAUUUUGGAUGAAAACCGGGAGGCUUAUGACUGUCUCAUUGACUGCCAAGUAAAUUACACUGUCAAGGUCCAGAAAAGUAUGAAAGACAUCGUCAGAAUAGUCCACUUGCCAUCAGUGGUUCAAUCUGAAUUUUAUGAAGCGACGAGAAUACUUUUUGUAUGCAAAGAAAACAAAAAUAACAACUUUAUUCAACAAUUUGUCUCCUCUGUGUCUCUCUGCAUCACUGUAGCACCAUUUUGGACGAUAUUUGCUGCACGCAAGCAGCGUACGCUCUACCGUGUCAGCCAUGCUGCACAGAUGCGAUGGUUUCAUUCAAAUCAAAGCGUAAAUACACAUAGAAAAUGUAUCCUUGUGUCACGGCUGACACAGAACAGCAUACACAGUUUGUGUUCAGUGUAUAUUCUCCAAAAUGGUGCUAUGUGAUGCGGAGAGACACAGAGGAGACUAAUUGUUGAAUAAAGUCAUUUGUUUUCUUCGAGUACAAAGUGCUAUUUAAUAGCAGUCUUUCCUCAGAAAGCCACAUUUCCAGCAUUUGUAAAACUGCAUUUUUCCAUCUCAAAAAUAUAUCCAAAUUACGGCCUUUGCUCUCAAUGUCAAAUGCAGAAAUGUUAAUCCAUGCGUUUAUGACCUUAAGGUUAGAUUAUUGUAAUGCUUUAUUGGGUGGUUGUUCUGCAUGCUUAAUAAACAAACUCCAGCUGGUCCAAAAUGCAGCAGCUAGAGUUCUUACUAGAACCAGGAAGUAUGACCAUAUUAGCCCGGUUCUGACUGCACUGGUUACCUAUUAAAAACAUGAUAUAGAUUUUAAAAUCUUGCUUAUUACUUAUAAAGCCCUGAAUGGUUUAGCUCCUCAGUAUUUGAACGAGCUCUUGUUACAUUAUAGUCCUCCACGUCCGCUGCAUUCUCAAAACUCUGACAAUUUGAUAAUACCUAGAAUAUCAAAAUCAACUGCGGGUGGCAGAUCCUUUUCCUAUUUAGCGCCUAAACUCUGGAAAAACCUACCUAACAUUGUUCUGGAGGCAGCACACUCUGCAGUUUAAAUCUAGAUUAAAGACCCAUCUCUUAAACCUUGCUUAAACAUAACACACUAAUACGCUUAUAAUAUCCAAAUCUGUUAAAGGAUUUAUAAGCUGCAUUAAUUAGGUCAACCGGAUCCAUGAACACUUCCCACAACACCUGAUGUACUUGCUACAUCGUUAGAAGAAUGGCAUCUACACUAAUAUUAGUCUGUUUCUCUCUUAUUCAGAGGUCACCGUAGCCACCAGAUCCAGUCUGUAUCCAGAUCAGAGGGUCACUGCAGUCACCCGGAUCCAGUACGUAUCCAGACCAGAUGGUGGAUCAGCACCUAGAGAGGACCUCUACAGCCCUAAAUGUCAGUGGAGACCAGGACAACUAGAUGAGCUCCACAUACAGAUCCCCUGUAAAGACCUUGUCUCAGACGACCACCGGGACAAGACCACAGGAACAGAUGAUUCUUCUGCACAAUGUCACAUUGCUGCAGCCUGGAAUUGAACUGCUGGUUUUGUCUGGCCAGAGGAGAACUGGCCCCCCGACUGAGCCUGGUUUCUCCCAAGGUUUUUUCUCCAUUCUGUUACCGAUGGAGUUUUGGCUUCUUGCCGCUCUCGCCUCUGGCUUGCUUAGUUGAGGACACUUUAUUUACAGCGAUAUCGCUGACUUGAUUGCAAAUAAUUGCAAAGAUACUAUUUAAACUGAACUGAG